rnacentral:rRNA from 1 species
GACGAACGCUUGCGGCGUGCCUAAUACAUGCAAGUAGAACGCUGAAGAGAGGAGCUUGCUCUUCUUGGAUGAGUUGCGAACGGGUGAGUAACGCGUAGGUAACCUGCCUUGUAGCGGGGGAUAACUAUUGGAAACGAUAGCUAAUACCGCAUAACAAUGGAUGACACAUGUCAUUUAUUUGAAAGGGGCAAUUGCUCCACUACAAGAUGGACCUGCGUUGUAUUAGCUAGUAGGUGAGGUAAUGGCUCACCUAGGCGACGAUACAUAGCCGACCUGAGAGGGUGAUCGGCCACACUGGGACUGAGACACGGCCCAGACUCCUACGGGAGGCAGCAGUAGGGAAUCUUCGGCAAUGGGGGCAACCCUGACCGAGCAACGCCGCGUGAGUGAAGAAGGUUUUCGGAUCGUAAAGCUCUGUUGUAAGUCAAGAACGGGUGUGAGAGUGGAAAGUUCACACUGUGACGGUAGCUUACCAGAAAGGGACGGCUAACUACGUGCCAGCAGCCGCGGUAAUACGUAGGUCCCGAGCGUUGUCCGGAUUUAUUGGGCGUAAAGCGAGCGCAGGCGGUUUGAUAAGUCUGAAGUUAAAGGCUGUGGCUCAACCAUAGUUCGCUUUGGAAACUGUCAAACUUGAGUGCAGAAGGGGAGAGUGGAAUUCCAUGUGUAGCGGUGAAAUGCGUAGAUAUAUGGAGGAACACCGGUGGCGAAAGCGGCUCUCUGGUCUGUAACUGACGCUGAGGCUCGAAAGCGUGGGGAGCGAACAGGAUUAGAUACCCUGGUAGUCCACGCCGUAAACGAUGAGUGCUAGGUGUUGGAUCCUUUCCGGGAUUCAGUGCCGCAGCUAACGCAUUAAGCACUCCGCCUGGGGAGCACGACCGCAAGGUUGAAACUCAAAGGAAUUGACGGGGGCCCGCACAAGCGGUGGAGCAUGUGGUUUAAUUCGAAGCAACGCGAAGAACCUUACCAGGUCUUGACAUCCCGAUGCUAUUUCUAGAGAUAGAAAGUUACUUCGGUACAUCGGUGACAGGUGGUGCAUGGUUGUCGUCAGCUCGUGUCGUGAGAUGUUGGGUUAAGUCCCGCAACGAGCGCAACCCCUAUUGUUAGUUGCCAUCAUUCAGUUGGGCACUCUAGCGAGACUGCCGGUAAUAAACCGGAGGAAGGUGGGGAUGACGUCAAAUCAUCAUGCCCCUUAUGACCUGGGCUACACACGUGCUACAAUGGUUGGUACAACGAGUUGCGAGUCGGUGACGGCGAGCUAAUCCCUUAAAGCCAAUCCCAGUUCGGAUUGUAGGCUGCAACUCGCCUACAUGAAGUCGGAAUCGCUAGUAAUCGCGGAUCAGCACGCCGCGGUGAAUACGUUCCCGGGCCU